ensembl:lncRNA
UCCUCUUGUUCCUACGUCUCAUCUCCCCGCAGCUCGUGGCUAUCUUCACCCUCUACGGCUCCUUCAUGAUGGCCCCCUAAUCUGUGCCAGUGUGGUUCCAUGGUAAGUAGGGGUCCCCAGACUCUCCCCUAAACACGCAUGGAAUCUUCACUCAUGCUACAUCUGCAACCCCACAUGGUAAACUGGAUACAGCGCCUCCGCUGCUGCUUGAAACCAAAAUUCCACAUUCUCAGAAGGGAAGCUACGGAGAGGUUUGGCAUCGGUGAUGCUAACGAUGCUGAGGGCGACCGUUACAAGGAACAGAGAUGGAUUCGAAAGGAAGAGAUUGAACUGUCAAUAGGAUGGAACAGUGGAGUGAAGUGAAUGUGUAGCUCAUGUCACUUCCUCUCCCGAGAACAUAAGGAAGGUAAUCGGUUUCACGUCUAAGCCCGUGUUAAUUUGACAGCUUGACAAUUAAUAAGCUUUUAAAACACCCUCAGAAUCAAGGCUCUUAUGUAAGACAAUGCAAUCAUUACAUGUUUAAUGUGUUUACCAAACAUAGAAUGGUGCAAAGGAAUGUGGAGUCCCGGCACUGUGCCCUAUGAUUUAACCAUGCUGAUUCUUUUAGAUCUUUUUUUUUUUUUUUUUCUCCCCAUCUUCAUCUGCACUGCAGUUUUUCUGAUUUCGGCGGUGCCAGCCCCCUGUGUAGUCCAGCGUGUACACGGGCUUAUUAAACCAGGCUCCUAUUCAGUCCACCCAACGGUCGCUCCGCUGUCAACUUAAGCCCAAGCCAUUCCAACACUCCACGACUAUUGUUGCAAGCUUCUCCAGAACUCGGUAUUGCUAGACAGCCGAUGUGCAGAGGGAGAGCGGGAAAGGCCCCGCCUAUCCUCAUAUCUAAUGCAUAAUUAUCUUUUGAUGCGUUGCAAUUUCCCCCGUGUGGAUGGUUCUUAAAAAGAUGUCUUUUUUUUUCAUUUAUUAUCCAUGUCUUGCAUAAGAGAUAUUUUGACAUUUUCUGAUGAGCCAGUUGCUGAGAUAUCACGGAGGCUUUAAUCGUCUCCUGUGAGCUGGCAAGCUCACGAGGUAACCAAAUGAUUGACGAUUAUUAUUUCAUACGAGAAAAACAAACAAACUGCAAGCAAAAGUUUUUCAGAUAUUGCCUUGGGUAUUUGUUGUGGUCUGUCGCAAUGCAAAAAGGAAAAUAAAUAAUGUUUUUAAAAGUACACAUCUUUCAAGAUUCAUAGAUCCAAGGUUUUUUUUGGGAGUUGGAGUAGUUGGGGUGAGCAGACCUUUGAAGAUCUUUCAACUCCUGGAUGCUCCAGGCCUAUGAGAUGCAGUGCCAUCCCUUUAAGGGAAUGACCAUAACUUUGGUCCCCUUGCUUCUAAUCCGUCCUUCAGACCCUCGUCGUCAGAGAUCAACCAGGCUGAGCCUUGGUGUCCUCCGCUCCCUGGCAAGGGCAGCCAGGGGGUUUCGCGUGUGUGAAGAGCCAGAUGAAUAUGCUUAAAUCUGCGCCAAAGAUCAGGAGUUGAUGUCUUUAUCUUCUUUAUCUGCUUCUCCAUCUGCUUGUUCCACAGCAUAAGAUCUUUGACAAAUGAUCAGUUACAUUUUUCCCGCGUCCGCUUAAUGAUUUACAGUUUCUGAAUCCAUUUGAAGAGUUUGUUUGAAAAUGUUAUGACGGCUUUGAUCGCGAAGCCUAAAGAGCACAAUGCCUUAGAUUUGACAAAAACAUCGCAAAGAGACCACAAGAACGUGCUGUUAUUCUUUCUCUCGUAACGAUCACAUUUCAUUAGCACCGAUUCGCUUCUGUUUUGAGAUAACGCAUUUGAAUACUUUUCGUAUGAUGCUUCAAAUCUCCGUCGUUUGAGGUUGAACUUAAAAAAGAGAUCACACUGAUCGCGGUCCAGGGUGUUUCAAAGCACUGAGUAAUCGCGAGUGUUUAAUUUUAUCUGUUGCGGUAUGCAUUGCAAGAGAGCUGUGUAAUCAAGCCUGUGAACUCGACAUCUGAAAGGAAGGAUUCCGUUUCUGAUCAAAUCCCCCAUUGAAGUCCAUCCAUCCCCUGAACGUGGAUGUGUUGACGCGCUGAAGCUCGUUCUCGUUGCUACGUGGCCGUCAAAUGAACAUGCGCUGGACGCGAUGCCGUAUGUGUUUUUUCAGCCGAUGUCUACUGUCUGUAUCGGUCCCCCGGGGGCCCGAGGGGCCACAUUUUAGAGAGAGCUGUAAGUGAGGACGCUUGGCGAUCUCACUGUUAACCUCCUGCGUUACAAGAACACCCCAGGGCCUAACUCUACAGUGAUGGAUGAAGGGUGGUGGGAGCAAAGGGGCCCCACACACACACACACACACACACACACAACCCAGGAAUUCCCCUCGGGCCUUUUCAAUUACAGUUAGACCAAGCUCCGCGCGGUGCUGAUAUGUUGCUUUAAGGCUGUGACGUUAAUGGAGGGGACAAAUGUGAUUUGGUGUGGCGUCGACCCUGAAGUGGCAGACACAGACAGCAGCUCGCUCACGGCACGCAGGCAACAGGAAGGAAAAACAAGGGAACCUAUUGUUGCUCCGUGUGUUUACGAUCAUCAAUAAAAAUCAUCCACACAUACCAAAGUGUCACUUAGGUCCUUCUGAAGUUAAAGAAGCGUCCAUGGGAAUGGUUUAUCAUUAGCCACAGGAAUAAAAGGAGAGGCAGUAAUUGGCCAGUAGAGAUGCUUUGAGCGGGCCCAGGUAACGGAUUUGGAGAAGUAUAGCAGAGGGGAGGACUGUCCCUUCAUCUUGAUCGUGAUCAAUGAGGCCGCCUGACCUCGUAUUGGACGUGUGCUCUGAUGUGGUAACGGGACGUGCGAUGUGUGGGAGCACAUUUGACAUCAUCAUCUGACUUCAACCUGUGAAGUUUGCACUCCUCCAUAGAUGACUUUCAAAAAGAACAAGGCGGAGACUAAUGCAUCUAUUUCUGUCCGCGGGGAAGAAUCCUGUGUUCGAGGCUUCUGGAAGAGGCGUGGGAUCAAAAAAUUCAUCACCCAUUCAAAAGCAAAAGGUUUAAUGUAGUUCCUUCAUAUGGCUGAGGUAAUCGUCGCUUACCCGCGGAUCCACCCCUUAGUCUACAUCCCCUCUCCUGAUGUGGUGUGAAUGACAUCGUGUCCUUACUUUUGUAAUUGACAUAAUUAUGCAAUCCACGUGCGUAACCGGGGUGUGUCUCAGAAGAAUUAUUUGACUUCAACAAAAAGCACAGAUUCGCUUGGAAACGAACCUCCUUUCGAUACAGCAAAUACAACAUUCCCGCUCUGCUUUGACAGAUAUCCGGUAUAAGAUGUUAAGACAUCAACAAAAUCUGAUCUCUGAGAAUAACCCGUGUUAACCUGAAACAACGAGAUUCUUGUUACAAAUUUCACUGUCUGAAAUCACAAGUCCAGCCAUAAAUGAAUCACUUAAAACUAUGUGUGUUGUAUUUGACUUGCUAUCAAUAUUUGAUCAAACAGAUCAUUAACUAUGCUCUGUACAUUAUCCUUAUGCAGAAUCCCGUCUGAGGGGCCAUGAAUAAUGCCACGGGUCCUUGCAGGGGAAAUAAAUGCCACUCCCUCUCUGCAGCUUUGUAGCGUGCAGCUGAAGUGAACCAUGUUUUUUGAAAUGUACGUUUACUUCUUUUAAUCAACAACAACAACAAGUACAGAUAUCAGCCAGUAAAAUAAACAACAGAGGAAGCGGAUCAACAACCAGCGUGGGCCGUUGGUAUUACACACAUGUGAACAUGAUGCCAGAGGCAAUAAGUCACUGACACAAUUAUCUAAACACGCUGUAUUAUUCAUCUCUCUAAUAAGACAGGAUCUGCUGCUGUUCCAUGUUGUGAAUCCAUCACGCCAGUGGACGCCACCACUUCUCCGCUUUCAUAUCGCGCAUCAUGUACAUUGGUAUUAAUGAAUACAGUUGUUCUCUAUAUUUGUUCAGUUUAACGUGUGGACAGCUUGAGCAAAGAUGGAGGCUAAACAUGUCUUUUAUUGUGAGGGAGCCAGAUGUUGGGGGGGUGGAGCAGUGGGUGUGUGUGUGUGCCCUCCCCAGUUAAACCCGGGCCGGGCCAGCGUGGAGCUCAAGUCGCCCUGUAUUCCAGCUCACAGAUCACACCAGUUAUGGAAGACCGCCCUUUGAUCAUUUCCGUUUCGAAAAUAAUUUUCCUUUGAACAUUUCAAGUCACUUGUGCUUUUAUUUAUAAAGCCUAUUUAGACAAUCAAGGGGUUGAAAAUAAUUAGGCUCGCGUGCACAUGAGCGUGGACAUGUAUUCCCUUUCAAUCAGUUAAAACCAGCUCUGUUAAUUAAAGUUCUGAGCUGUUGCUCUGCCCAAAUAAUUUUCUUAUUAGCUAAUGCAUUCCUCAGAUCUGUUGUCAGCAGAGCAUAUUUUCUUCUGGUUGCUCUUUUCUUUUUUUUUUUCCCUCACAGAAAUCCCACUGACCCAUAUAGUUGAUCCCAUUUUUGAAGCGAAUAAUAUAGAUCCUCAGUUAAGAGAAUGGAGGCUCUAUUUUUAGUCCCAUUUGAGUUGCGCAGCCUCCUUCUAGGUGCUGCUGUGUGUUUCUGAAUUCCCUCAGUGGAAGCAUUACCAUCUCAUUUGGGUAAGGGCGCGAUUACCUCGUGCGAGGGAGCCGCGUUUCAUCGCCGCCGACGCGGCGAGGCUGAGCUGUCGCGCGCUGACUGUUUGUACAGGCGGCUGAAGGUAGAAACGCUGCAGAUCCAUUUCACAAACAUCACACGUGACAACUUGUGAUGCCACCUUCCCCGUGUUCCCUUGAGAGGUCUCUCACCAACAACAACAACAACCUAUUGAUCCUCGGCACCAUUUUAACAACCUCCUCGCACCCUCUCACACAAACACACCUGAGUGGGUAUGGAUUGAAAAUGUUAGCGGUUGGCGGCUAUCUUCUGGGCCCCGUCGUCAAAUGGGCCCGGCCCCUGGCGCUGACAAGGGACUGAUGAACGUCGUGGCGGCUCACCGCCGACAUUCAUUUGUAAUACUCACAUUUCAGCGCUGAUUAGAAGGCUGUGGCACGCGAGCAGCUAUCAAAACAAGAAAUAAACUACUCGGAUUAAAAUUCUGUUUUUAAUUGGAUGGAUGAAAGAAGCAAUUAGUUGCAGUUGAGUUAUUUAUUUUUUUCAACGUCAGCUUUUCCUAAUUUCUUAUGAAAAGGGGAAACGAAUGUGUUUGAACUAUAAUACAGUUUGUGUCCUAAAUUUAAGGCUUCAUUGGCCACUUCGAUUCAAGCCAACGGCUGUACUAUGAAUCACACCUACAGGUUCAGGUUUUCUUCAUAUAGUUGUAAAAUUGUAAAGUCGAUGUUGUGGUCAGAGUGAAUGGUGGCGUUUAACUGGACCACAUGAUGCUUUACAAACUGAUUAUUAAUACGUUUCACUAUUUGGUACAAAUUUUUCCUUAAUGAUGUUUUACUUGAUUAGAACUGCUUUACCUUAUUCAGCCAAUCAUGAUCUAUUCAUACGCUUAGUGAAUAAUAUGCACACCAAUCCUUAAUCGAGGAACUUAAAUUGGAGCCUGUGCUCUGUGGAGCAGUUUAAUUGCAUUGCAUUUAACUGAGACUUCCUAAUAUAUUUGCCUAUUUUAAUAUCGAUGUAAUGGUUAAAAAUAUGAGGAACACCCCACUGCUGUAAAACAUCAGUAGAAGUGCACACUAUAACCUUCAUGAAGUCAGCGUCCGGGCAGUUCUGUCGUAUCAGACUGGCUUUGAGUUGUUUGUACCUAAUAAAGUGACUCCUGAGCAUAUGUGCCUCAUGCCUUGUAUAAAACAACUCAAGGUGUGAGAAGGAGGAGUCGUGUAAUAUUGGUAAAACCUUUCGCUUCAUCUCUUUCCAUCUUGCUCAGUCAAUACUGUGUAGUCUGCACAUGUGUAGCCAGGAGGGACGUUUUCUGCAGUUUUAAAGGGAUGCUGUGGGUCUGAGGUUGCAGGCUGCUGAGUCGUGUUAAAGGACGCGGUUUCCUGUUGUAGGAAAAAAGGGGUCGAGAUGACCGGUAGUAUUGAACCGAACUUACUCAUCAAUUAGAAAUCAAAGCUUGGCCAGUUGCCGCUUCUGGCGUGCCGAGAGGCCUCUUUCCACUCAGCAUGUUAACAUACUGUAAGACAGAAGGAGGAGGGAAGAUGCUCCUGUGGACCACCGAAAGAAUUGAAGUGGGUUCACUCAACUCCUUUUUUUUUAAAUCAACAAGGAGUUUACAGUUGUAGAAAUGUUCAGGAAGGAGACAGAUUUUGCAAUCAGUAAUGUUUUUCUUUACAUUGUUAGGGUUCGUUAUGUAAUCGGGGUUAUAAUUGGAGAAGCUUUACAUGUUUGUAUUGCAGACUGAUUUGGGGAUUCAGCUUGAAAAAUCUACCUCAAGAAGAAACAUCUAAUCAAAGUAACCUCAAUGUCCCAGUUGCAGGCUACAUGUAAAAAACAACAACUUAUCAUCCUCAUUCAGGCAAAUGCUAGUUUGUCUGAACAACCAACUAAACCUCAGCUGAGCUGCUUUUGCGUUGAAAUUGUGACUGAAGGGAGUGAGCUUAACAAUCAGGCUGCUUUAACUGCUUUAACCACACAUUCAUUAUCACAUUACUUCAUUCAGUACAAUGUCUUCUUUGAACAUUUUUGUUCAUCUUUUACUAACUUGAAGAAUUGAAGGUAAAUGUGUGUAAAGUCAAUUGAAAGCAGCAUGUUUAUCGGAUGUUCUAUUUAAUGACUACCACUUCAGUCUGGCUGUGCUGCUUGUUCGUUUUUUAUAUGCACCAGAAAACUUACUGCAUUCAUCACUGGUGUGUAGCUGUGUUUUGCAAGAGGCAGCUGCCCUCAAAAUUGAGAUGGGGUCACAUAAAAAAUCUCCACAUGUGCAAGGUAACAUACACGUUUGUACCAUGUUCUGAGCGGUGUAGUUUAUGCCUUUAACAGAGUUUAGAGUUACUUAAUCCGUAUGCGGAGACCGUGAUUUAGCCUUUUUUAUACCAGGACAUGUUUAUGGGCUAAAAGGCCUUUGUUAGUGGUACUCUAUUUAUUUAAUACAAUUGUAGUGGGAACAGAAGGAAUAAUAAACAGGCUGACUAAACAUACGAUUCUUCUUUUGGGCUGAGAAAACCCUGUGUAAGGACACAAAAGGGGGACGUUUCCACUGUGGAAAGUAAAUUCUUUUGAAGUGGAACUAAUCAUCUAAGGGAUGGUUCUCGUUGUCCUAACAACGCAGCUGAAUUGGAAUGAGCCUCCUUUUUUGUGGAAGAUAUGUUUUCUUUUUUUCAUUCAGAACUGAUGAUGAUAGUAGUUUCACGCCCUGUCCACCCACAUUGUCCGUCCAAACUCCUCUGCAGAUAAGUCUUCACUUGGAGACGCCAAACACACGGCGGGUGACUCCUGGACUGUGACGUCGGCCCGGCUCCUCUGUCUUCCAGUCUUUACGCUUUUUAAUGCCGUUUAGAAUGAAAAGGGAAUCUCGCAGCAAAUCCUCUCCAAUAACAGUUCAUUCUUGGAGUGUGAAAAGAUCAAGACUUUUAAACUACUCCUCUAUCAUUAUGAACCAGUCACUCAGGAAUUAUACUGCUCUUAUGUUUCAGCCCAAAAGGAGUUAAAUGUGUGCAGUGUGUGAUUGUGUGUUGAUUGAAAAGUAUGGCUGUAUUUCUUUUCUGUUUUCAUAUGUUGUUUGGGCUUUAUUUACAUGAAUCCUCCGUCUGUUUUUCUCUUUCUGCAUGUUAACGGCUGCGACGACUGAAACUGCAAAAAUGUAUUCAAUGAAUUCUUACAAAUCACGAUCUUAAAUGAUUGUGCGCUUUUCCCCCCCUGCUGUUAACGGACAGAACUCAGCUGAAGAUGUAAAUGAAGAAUUCUCAGUCUAAUUAACAUGUUCAAGACUAAUAUGAAGAUGACUUUAAAGAGAAUGUCAAUUCACAACCUGUUCACGUUUGCAUGCUCUGAACUAUGAGUGCGAUCCAAAUGAUUUAGCUCUAAAUAUAGUCUCUGAGGAGCUUGUGAGGGCUUAGCCAGUAAUUCAUAAUAGAUUAAGUGAACUAUCCUUUCCCUGCGAGGCUGUAUAGUUCCAUUAGGAUGUAACAGAAUGCAGGAGACGGACUGCAAUGUCCUUAAAGGCGUGCACGUCAUUUACAAAGCUACUAAGCAAUUAUUGGCGGGAAUGAUGAGGUCUCCGAUUCACAGCGAGGACUCUUUUGUCUCCCAGCUGAAGGGACGUAACCGCGGGGCUCCAGCUUGAGUCCAGGGUCGCCUCACGCACCCUCGGGGGAAUUGAGAAAGGUAGCUUUGGCCGUCUGACCUCGAACCGAGAGAAUUCCAAUCUCUCACCGUUACUAAAUCUUUAUCUUCGCACGGGCUGUAUAGCUUCGCCUCCCUUGAGUUAUAAACUGUCGGCCUUUCUGCUAGUCCUAUAGUCAUCCGGCCGUUUUAUUGUCUCAGCGGGGGUACAGAGUUCAGGCAGCAGUCAUCCCCAAAACAGAGGUGAACUGUGCAGGGAAGCUACUGUGCUGACUUAUCAUUCAGAGCCGUCGAGGCUUUGAAGCAGCACAAAACAAACACGGGGUGGAUCCUUCAUUGUAAACCGGUCGGUGGAUUUAACUGCACUGACGGUUUGUCACAGCAAUAAACAAAAAGCUCCCGUUUGAAAUGUUCGCCUCUUUAUCUCAAAUAAACUGAUAAUCUAGCAUUUGAGACACCAUCUUCACGGUCUAAAGAGUGGAAGUGGAGUGGAAGAAUAAAUCAACAAUCAAGUGCAAAUGAACCACAAAAUGAGAUUUAAUCAUCAUCAGAUCCGGCCCCAGGACUUAUGAGCCAUAUUUCUUACUAUUCAUGGCUCUGUUCAAAGCUUUCCUACUGUGUUUUUCCUACUUAUUUUAUAUUAAAACUUAAUAGCUGCAUACGUCUACAUUAUUCAUAAAUGAUCCCAUAGUUGCAACAUUGCAAUUUACAGAGAAGGGCGACAAAAGGACAAUACCUUAGAGGUUUUUUUACGUAUAUCUUUUAAUCAAACUAAUUUUAGUAGCUGCUUGUUGGCAGCGAAGUCUUGAAUGUAGCCACAGAUUUGGCAAACAAAUUAGACCUAUUAAGAGUCUGUGUUGAUAACAAGUGAAGUAUUUGUAUUACUGGGAGGCAGGUGGCAGCUAAAUGAACACAGUCGCUCUCAGGCAAAAACAAAUUCAAUUCGUACAGACUUGUUCUCAGCGCUCAUAAAUGUGCUGGACUUUGAGUUCAUGCAGCAGCUUUUCUCACACACACACAAAUUAAAGCGUAUUCUGACUGCCGAUCCAGGGUUUGGCACGAGCGUGUUCUCGCAGAGGGGGCGGAGGAGACGACCGUCUUCCUCGGCUGAGGACAAUAACGAACGGCAGGAGUAGCCUGACCUUCUACUCUAAUGGUGAAACAAAUGGUUUGCUUGAAUGUGUUGGUCGAUGUCCGUCUGCGCUGCGUUGCCUUUUUCUCCUCAACCGGGUUGCAGACUGCAGCACGUUAAGGCAGGAGAUGGGAGAUAAGCCCGUGGUGCACUUGAAUAAAGGCCAUUUUGAGGCAGUGGGAAAUCCAGCCCUUUAGAGGGUACACCCGUAGAAUCCUCAAAUAACCUAAACUCUCCUUUCCUGUUAACUGCUGCCUCUUUCCGAGCCAUUGAAAGCCCGUCGCACCCGUAGAUGUUGAUGCCCUAGGAAGGCAAUAAAGUUAGCGAUGACCAGGACUGCGUUUUCUUUACGUGGGGAUUAAACAGUUGUGUCGCGUUAUCCACACAUCUUCCGAGUAUCCCUUGGCUUGCUUCGUCAUUUCUGCAUGCCAUGCGGUAGCUGGUUGCCAUUGUCAUCAUGGCAGACUGUGAGCCGGAGAGAGGACGCCAGCUCGGUGCCAGUUGGCCCCAGUAGUGAAAACACAAGGCAGACACGGCUCCAUUCUAAUCUUCGUCGUUCCAGACACAAAGGUCACUUUUGCGGCAACGGCGGUUUUCAUGUGUCCCAUUAGUCACGGGACCGAUUCUAUAUCCUGUGUGUGCAUCUAGGAAUCACACUGAUUCUUUUCCUCGGGCGUGUAUUUAACAGAGUUCUGGACAAGAUUCAGCCCGUGUACACAAUGCAAAUUCCAUUUCUAUCUGGAAAUUUAGCUUAAAAUACUGUAUAUUGAGCUAAAGUCGAUAAUAACAAGCUUAUGUGAUUUUCGGAGAGCCAGUACAAGUUUAUUAUAUAAGGGUGUAAACCACCAUCAAAAACAUUAAAUAUGUAUGCGUGUGUAUUAAAUAUUCCUGUAUGAACUAAUGGGUGUUCCAUAAGUCAUUGUAUGGCUUUAUCGUCUUCCACGCGGCCCUUCCUCCUGUGGACGUAUCCUCCCGGUGGUACUUUGCCUGGUAGACAAUUCUCCUGCAAAUAUCAGGGGCAUAGUCAUUAUCUUCUGCUCAGCAGGUGUAGACAUUAUUGGAGUGUUGAACUAAUGAUAUGUAAUGAGCUCUCUGUGACACACGUCUCGCUGCCCUUACUGUCCCGGGGCCCGUUAACAGAUAGCAUAUUUAUAAUUAGCUUCGCCGGGAAGCUUCUAAAUGCAUCAACGUUGAAGUGGUGUGGUUUCGCAUGCUGUGUUGUCCGUGCACUGGGCCAAAAGAUGCAUUCAUCUGGCUUUUACUGUUUAGUAAAUGUUUAUUAUGCGCAUCAACAUGGCGAUGCUUACAUAUUGUCCAAGCGCCGGUACUAUGGACAGGGCUCCCACUAGUGCCCUCUCUAAGUGUGCACAUAUGUAAAUGUUUGUGGUAAACAAACAUCGAGAAAUGCAUUCCUCGACUAAAAGGGGGACGAGCCAUUGGGCGGUUUGUUAGUGUCUUCAGUGAACUCGGUAAAUUAAAAGCCCCGGACACAAAUACAUGGCUGUCUUAAAAAUUUAUAUUGGAAAUGGUUUUGAUGUCGUACCCCACUGCAAACACUUUCAGCCCUGUGCAGGUCUCCUAGCAACAGCAAACAAAGGCCGGACCCAUCUCAAGUUUCCCGUGGAGCGGCCAGGCCGCCCGUGCCUUUGAUCUUGACUGGGAAAAUAGCUGAGUGGGCACUACUCGCAUUUGUCUUUCAUUUACUCCGGCCCCCCCCUCCAUCGUCCCAAAAUGUUCCCUGAAACAGCCAAAUCUUCAUCUGUCCCCAGCAACCAACACCCCUCCUGCAUAAUCAACCAUGGCAAGGGGAGUCAUUGAAGCGCCACAACGUUUCGUCCAAAUUGGAAGUUUUAAUUUUGCUGCAUAGCUGCUACCUUUAGAAAGAGAGGAGUGCGUAAAUCAAGGUGGUAUUUUAAUCCUUUGUUUCCAUUGCCUCAAUGGAGCGUUGCUGCACAAUUUAUCAACCUCUAUCCAAGCACUUCAAUUGAAAGCCUUGAUGAACAUGCUUUUUACAAAAAAACUUUUAAACUCUUUGAUCUUGGACCAAAAAUGAAAGUAGUACUUAUUCGCCAUCAGACAAGUGGGCACACAGUGUGUAUUCUCAAAGUCAGAUCUUGUUUUCCAUGUAAACGUUUUAAAAAGUAGGGCGCACAAGUAAAAAUGAAUGUUUAGAGUGUGUUUUCUUGUGUUUGAUAAGGCUUUCUAAGUCCUGGCAAUCAAAAUAAAAUAAUUCCCGCAUUCAACGCAUAAACACGACCAAGGAGAGACGAGGGCGACGUACUGUAUCUCAGGGCUAUUAAAUGUUAUCUUACUCCACUUCUCUGCUCUGCUUUUAUCCAAAACAGCUCAGGCAGCUCAAGAGAUUUAACAAAUUGAAGUGUUUCACACUGUUUUGGUGUAAUUUACUGUAAUUGAUGUUUCUAUCUACUGCCGAGGCCUUCUAAAGCGAUUGCUUGUGUUUGUAGGAAGACAUGCAGCCCAGUGGGGUGUAUUGACUCAGGCUGUUGACUAAUACUACUCUAUUGGCAUGUCUUAAAGCUCUCCCAUUGUUUGACUAACAGACUUCUGUGAAGCUGAAAGCACACCUCAAAAAACCGCCUCAGAUGGGGAUCAGAGUAGGUUUUAGUUUUGGGUACUUCUGUAGUUUUGUAAAAGUCUUCUUUUGGUUUGAAUCGGCCCUCGUGGGUUGUUUCACCUGGUUCCGUUGCUCUACUUUGGAUCUGGGCUCGAGGUACUAAACCGCACCGCCCAAUCAAAUACUCCAUGUUGAUUAUUUGAAAAAGGAUAUAUUGGAACUUAUGUUGACUUUGAAAUGCAAAUAUGUUGUUUCUCAAUGAUGAACGGGGUCAGACUGCUGGCUGUACCCCCGUGUCAGUGUUUCACCUUAAGUCGAUUCAAUAUUGACAUAAGAAGUCCAAAGGUAUCAUCAGCCUGAGCUAACUAAUUAUGUAGCUAAUAUAAAGUAGUGGAAGUAGAAAUACUUAAGCAAAGUCCACGUACCUGUAAAUUGUAGUAAAGUGCAGUAUAUGAGUGAAUGUACUCAGUAUCUUUCCAGCGUCUCAUAUUCAAUAUACUUUAUCAAACAUAAGAUUCAUAUGAGCUGAUCAAUAAACAAACUGGGACAGUAUGAGACAAGUUCACAAAAUAUUUGGUGUAAUAAGGGACUGUCAUUUAACAUUAGAGCAUCAGGAGUAUCAUAUCCAAGUUAUUUUAUGUGGUAAAAUAUUUUUUAAAUGAAAGGAGCCACUCAAAGUGACCCUUGAGAGAAGUUAAACUAACUUUCACACAUAUUUUAAAGAUAAAUUAGCACAUGUUUACUCUACUGGAGAUAUUUUGACUUUGUUGCUUAAAAGAGCCGCUAGAUUCCUAUUUUGAAAGUGUUGCAAUUUAACAUUCAUCACAUUUCUGCAAGGCUGCACACACUGAAAUCAGUCCCAAAAAAUGCUAACAGUUGACAUCCCCAUGUUUUGUUAACUCCGUGCGUGUGCUUUAGACACUGACAAGGUCUCACGUUCGCUACCUAUGUGCUAUAUAGUGUUGUUGCUCAGCACUGGACCUGAGGCAGAUAACUCCACUUUAACUAGCAUGACAACGGAUGAUAAACAAAAUGUUGAGAGGUCUCUUUUUCAACUUAGAGUUCAUGCCGGGUAAAAAAGAAAGUAACAUUUUAAGAUGAUUCUUUUUUUUCUUUUUCUCUCUUCUCUCAUAAACCGAUCGGAACCCAUUUUAUCAUUUUUUUAUUAGUAUUCUAUUCCUGAUUCAGAGUCCUGCACAAAAAAAGAUUGUUGUAGCAUCAGGUUCCAUCACAUUAGCCUCAACAUAAAAAUAAAGCAUGUCUUCAUGCUUGUCUGCUCCAAACCCCCACAGAGUGAAGCCCUCUGAUAGAACUGCAUGUGCUAUCUGACUCUGUUGGGGUGCAGAAUGUAUUAAUAUCUUCCUGAGCCCAAAGCGUGCACAUUUACUUUCACCUUAAUUCAUCCGUUUAUAUGCUUACCAAAUAUAGGUGGCCUUAACGGUAUUUUGUACUGGAACCAUUUCAAUAUUUAGUCUUAUAUAACAAGCAGGUGGGGCACCGAAUGUUUAACCACAUAAAUUCUUCCAAUAUUCCAGUUUGCUGUCGGAUUUUCUUUUUAAAGACAGAAUUUGCCUUCUAAGAGGAUGUUGGUGCUGCCAGAGCUCCGAACCGCCUUCACAGACUAAUUUUGAAUAUACUGAUUCAUUUUAUGAAAGUGGAAUUAAUGAUACUGUAAGUUGAGUUAUGAUGGUUUAUCACUUUAAAGAACCGGGAACAUGUGAGUUAGGGUGCUCAUAAUAACCUUUGUAUAACUAAUAUAGGGCAUAAUGAAAUACUGUUAAAGGUCAUGUUAUCUGCCUAUGUAUGUAAGUUUCAUUUUUAUUGGGGGAAUAAAACCCAUUCUCAUGUUGUUCUUCACAUAUUUUUCACAUAUAUUUUCUAAUAUAUUUCCAUCCACCACUAGUUGCACUGAGGAACAUAUAUUUAUAUAUAAAUAUAUAUAUAUAUAU